AACGUAGGAGACAAACGUUAUCCGGAGUUACUGGGCGUAGAGGGCGUGUAGGUGGUUUCGUAAGUCUGGCGUGAAAUAUCUCGGCUUAACCGAGGCAGGUCGUCGGAUACUGCGGGACUGGAGGACGGUAGAGGCGUGUGGAAUUCCGGGUGUAGCAGUGAAAUGCGUAGAGAUCGGGAGGAACACCAGUGGCGAAGGCGGCUACCUGGACCAGCACUGACAC
rnacentral:rRNA from 1 species